GCCUGGCACGUAAGAUGCUGCCCCGGGGCCAAGCGAUCCCUGCGUGCGUGUUCCCCUGCCCGGGCAACUGCCGGCCCCCGCCUGCGUGCCCCGAGCCAGCUGCUUCCCAACGGCAUCAAGUUCACGGCAGGGUCGAGACGAAGCCCUGCAUUGCACAGGCACUCACAGCCACAUCCAGCUGGGAGCUGUCGCCUUGAGCCAUGCACCAGAGUCACCUCCAGCUGCCAAGCCAGUUCUGCUCUCAGAGGCCUCGGGGGACGGUGGCAAAACCCUUGGGAAACUGAGGCAUGGCCAGAGUCUGCUUCAAGGAGAGCUGCAGAGAGCUUCUCUGGGGGAUUAUUUUCCUCCUGGCAGUGUGAGGAGCGAAAGAACCUGCAGAAGUGAACGGAAUCAAGUCAGUUUGAUCAGCAACAAAGUCAGCUUUGGGGUCACAGCCAAAGCUGGGCUGCAAAAGCCCACUCAGGGCAUUCCCUCCUCCCCAGCAGGGCUUGCCACACGUGUCCUGCUGUGCCAGGAGGGGUUUCAGAGGGGUGAGAGGUGCUGGGGUGCAGCAGAGCUCACGUUUGCUGGUGGCCGUGCUCUCCUGUGCCCGCACACUGCCUGAGUCCCCCCGACUGCAUCGCUGGGCUGCUUGAUCCUACACCAACACCACAGGAGCAACCCCAAGCAGGGUUCAGCCUGUCAGAGCCCCACGGAAGGAGCAGCAGGAAUUGGGGGUGAACACAGGGCUGUGCCUGGAUGUUCCUGGUCCCAGCAUCCAGAGCAUCUUCUCUGUCCACACGCCUCCUGUGCCGCCCCCGUGGCGACACACAGGAUGACUGCAACCAUCGCCCCUCAAGAAAUACCAUCUAUUUAUGGCCAAACAGCCACUGCCUUGCGUGGAUAAAUCAAAAGGAAAACAAAGCUUUACGGAAAAAAGUAUUAAAUUUUCCAUGUGCUCCUGAAGGGAUGGGCCAGGCACUCGCUGUUUAUUUUUUGGGCUCUCUCUUUGCUAGUACUGUAAGUGACAUUGUGUUUACAAAAGUUUUUAU